rnacentral:rRNA from 1 species
GACGAACGCUGGCGGCGUGCUUAACACAUGCAAGUCGAGCGACGCUCUUCCUUCGGGGAGAUGACGGAGCGGCGAACGGGUGAGUAACACGUGGGCAACCUGCCCCUAGCUCUGGGACAACACGGGGAAACCGGUGCUAAUACCGGAUACGACAUCGAGCGGCAUCUCUCGAUGUGGAAAGUUUUUGCGGCUAGGGAUGGGCCCGCGGCCUAUCAGCUUGUUGGGGGGGUAAUGGCCCACCAAGGCGACGACGGGUAGCCGGCCUGGGAGGGCGACCGGCCACGCUGGGACUGAGACACGGCCCACACUCCUACGGGAGGCAGCAGUGGGGUAUAUUGCGCCAUGGGCGAAAGCCUGACGCAGCGACGCCGCGUGUGCGAUGACGGCCUUCGGGUUGUAAACCUCUUUCCGCAGGGACGAAUUCAGACGGUACCUGCAGAAGAAGCACCGGCCAACUACGUG